rnacentral:lncRNA from 1 species
UCUAAUGGCCUCUCUAUGGAUCACAGGACUCAAACCUGGUCUUUCCUAUGCACUGGUCUUGGGUCAAAGGAAUUAAUCCCUGUCUUCCCUCACAGUUAUAAUUCACUGGGUUUUCGAAACACAACAUAUAUUAAGCCUGGUCUGACUCAUUUCUCAUCAAGAAACUGUAAAACAGGAUACAUGCAUACACUAGGGAUUCACAUACACUAGACAAUAGGC